rnacentral:rRNA from 1 species
UACGUAGGGUGCGAGCGUUAAUCGGAAUCAUUGGGCGUAAAGGGUGUGUAGGCGGUGAACUAAGACGGAUGUGAAAUCCCUGGGCUUAACCCAGGAAGUGCAUACGUGACUGGUUCGCUAGAAUCUGGCAGAGGAAGGUAGAAUUUCACAAGUAGCGGUGGAAUGCGUAGAUAUGUGAAGGAAUACCGAUGGCGAAGGCAGCCUUCUGGGCUAAGAUUGACGCUGAGGCACGAAAGCGUGGGGAGCAAACAGG